rnacentral:rRNA from 1 species
AGCGGCGCGCUUAAUGCAUGCAAGUCGAGCGAUGAGGCCUUCUUCGGAGGGCACAUCAGCGGCAGACGGGUGAGUAACACGUGGGUGACCUGCCCUUGAGACGGGGAUAACGGAUGGAAACAUGCGCUAAUACCCGAUAGGGUCCCAGGGUCAAAGCUGGGAUGAAAGCUUUGGUGCUCAAGGAGGGGCUCGCGGCCCAUCAGCUAGUUGGUGAGGUAACGGCUCACCAAGGCGAAGACGGGUAGGGGGUGUGAGAGCACGGNCCCCCACAAUGGGACUGAGACACGGCCCAUACUCCUACGGGAGGCAGCAGCAGGGAAUAUUGCACAAUGGACGGAAGUCUGAUGCAGCGACGCCGCGUGGAUGAUGAAGGCCUUCGGGUUGUAAAAUCCUUUACGGGGUGACGAGGAAGGACGGUAGCCCCGGAACAAGCGUCGGCUAACUACGUGCCAGCAGCCGCGGUAAGACGUAGGACGCAAGCGUUAUCCGGAUUUACUGGGCGUAAAGCGUCUGUAGGCGGAUGAGUAAGUUGGGCGUGAAAGCUCCGGGCUCAACCCGGAGAGGCCGUUCAAUACUGCUGAUCUAGAGGAGGCCAGAGGGGAGUGGAAUUCCUGGAGUAGCGGUCCAAUGCGCAGAUAUCAGGAAGAACACCAGUGGCGAAGGCGGCUCCCUAGGGCCCACCUGACGCUGAGAGACGACAGCUAGGGGAGCGAACAGGAUUAGAGACCCUGGUAGUCCUAGCCGUAAACGAUGGAUGCUAGGUGUAGGGCCGUAGAGGCUCUGUGCCCGGAGCGAACGCGAUAAGCAUCCCGCCUGGGGAGUACGGCCGCAAGGCUAAAACUCAAACGAAUUGACGGGGGACCCGCACAAGCAGCGGAGCGUGUGGUUUAAUUCGAUGCUACACGAAGAACCUUACCUGGGUUUGACAUGGGCGUGGUAGUGAAGCGAAAGCGGAGCGACCCUUCGGGGAGCGUCCACAGGUGCUGCAUGGCUGUCGUCAGCUCGUGCCGUGAGUCGUCGGGUUAAGUCCCGUAACGAGCGCAACCCUUGCCCUUAGUUACAAGUGUCUAAGGGGACUGCCGGCGGGAAGCCGGAGGACGCGUGGGGAUCGACGUCAAGUCAGCAUGGCCCUUAUAUCCAGGGCUACACACACGCUACAAUGGCCGGUACAGAGGGCAGCGAAGCCGCGAGGUGGAGCGAAUCCCAGAAAGCCGGUCGUAGUUCGGAUUGCAGGCUGCAACCCGCCUGCAUGAAGCUGGAGUUGCUAGUA